CCAAGUCCGCAGUUCUUCCAGUUUGGCUGUUCUGGCAAUAUAUUUACAAUUUGCUUUGAAAUACGCUAGUUAGUUCAGUGGUAACAAAACAGCCUUAUAAUUUGGAAGCCUUGGUGUGAUUACCACCUCUAUAUAUACCAGUGCUAUAUAUACACCUACGUCAAAUCCUCAGAUUAUAAUGUCACUCUAUCCCCUUUUUAUAAUUGUAAACCACUGCGAAAUAUGUUGGCGAUUAUAUACAU